rnacentral:ncRNA from 1 species
AUGUCAAAAUGCAUCGGUAGGGGAGCGUUCCGCCUUAGAGGGAAGCAACCGCGAAAGCGGGGGUCGACGAAGCGGAAGCGAGAAUGUCGGCUUGAGUAACGAAAACAUUGGUGAGAAUCCAAUGCCCCGAAAACCCAAGGUUUCCUCAAUAAGGUUCGUCCAUGGAGGGUGAGGGAGGGCCUAAGAUCAGGCCGAUAGGUGGAGUUGAUGGACAACAGGUCAAUAUUCCUGUACUACCCCUUGUUGGUACAGAGGGAUGGAGGAGGCUAGGUUAGCCGAAAGAUGGUUAUAGGGUUAAGGACACAAGGUGACCCUGCUUUUUCAGGGUAAGAAGGGGUAGAGA